CACGUAGGGUGCGAGCGUUGUCCGGAAUUAUUGGGCGUAAAGAGCUCGUAGGCGGUGUGUCGCGUCGGCCGUGAAAACCUGCAGCUUAACUGUGGGCUUGCGGUCGAUACGGGCAUCACUGGAGUUCGGCAGGGGAGACUGGAAUUCCUGGUGUAGCGGUGAAAUGCGCAGAUAUCAGGAGGAACACCGGUGGCGAAGGCGGAUCUCUGGGCCGAUACUGACGCUGAGGAGCGAAAAGCGUGGGGGAGCGAACAGG
rnacentral:rRNA from 1 species